AUGAAAGCUGGCGGCGUGCCUAAUACAUGCAAGUCGAGCGAACAGACGAGGAGCUUGCUCCUCUGACGUUAGCGGCGGACGGGUGAGUAACACGUGGAUAACCUACCUAUAAGACUGGGAUAACUUCGGGAAACCGGAGCUAAUACCGGAUAAUAUAUUGAACCGCAUGGUUCAAUAGGGAAAGCCGGUUUUGCUGUCAUUUAUAGAUGGAUCCGCGCCGAAUUAGCUGGUUGGUAAGGUACCGGCUUACCAAGGCAACGAUGCGUAGCCAACCUGGAGGGGGGUCGGCCCCCCUGGAACUUGGGCACCGGCCAGACUCCUACGGGAGGGAGCAGUAGGGAAUCUUCCGCAAUGGGCGGAAGCUUUGCCGAGCAACCCCGCGGGAGGGAUGAAGGUCCUCCGAUCGGAAAACCCCGUUAAUAGGGAAGAACCAAUGUUGUAGUUACCAUGCACGUCUUGACGGUACCUAAUCAGGAAGCCCCGGCUAACUACGUG
rnacentral:rRNA from 1 species